UGAAUCUAAAGAAGACCUCCCUCUGUCC
rnacentral:piRNA from 1 species